ensembl:lncRNA
GAGAUCACUUCUCUUGGAGCCCUUCUGCGAGCAUAGGAUAUGGAUGUAAAGAAAAUGAAGAAAAAUCAAGAAAAAAGAAAGAAUAGCAACAAUUUUGGACUUUUCAGUGAAGCUACACAUCUUCCUGAAAAUUCUACUCACCUUCAACGCAGACUUCCAUUUCAGAAACCAUUCUGAGGUUUGGAUCUUCUUGACAUAAUUUCAGCAGAUCUUCCUGUGUGCAUCUUCAGGCUUUGGACAAGCAUGGGUCUUUUCUUGCUUUGAGAACCUCAUCCUCCUUACAGAAGUGCUGACCGAGUGCAGUUCGGUGUACUCUUUACAGCAGGAGGCACUGUGACAGUUUAGGACAUUGCUCCUUAAUGUAAUUUGAAAUGAAAGAGAUCACUCUCUCCUUGCGUGUGUUCUUGUCUAUCUUAUGUCUCUGGUGUUUUUCUUUACAGACAAAAGCCAGGAAAGGAAUAAACUGACUGUUACUAUAUCCUGUUAAAGAAAACUUACAGGCAACAGCUGAAUGAGUAUCUUCGUGUCAGCAGUCAGGGCUGUGAGAUUGCAGCUGACAAUUAGGGAGAUAUACAUACUCCGCUUAUGCUUAAUUCACAGGAAACAGAGCCUUUAAAAAACUUUAAGAAGGGAACUUAAAAAAUCCAAGGAUUAGUAUGGGUCAGAAAACUAGAACAUUAUACCUCUCUGAUACUUGUACUGUAGUUGAAGGACUUUCUUUUUUGCCUAGUGUUUUCUCCUAAGCACAUACAGCCCGGAGUGUAGUGUAUUACAC